GCAGGUAAGUGAGGGGGCACCCAGGAGGGGAGACUGAAAAAAUGUAGAAAAAUAUAUAUAUAUUUACUCGCCAAAUAUGUAAUGCCACACAGGCAGAGGAUGCAGUUUUAGUUUUGAGGUGGAUUGAAAAUACGCAGCCGCAGACGAGGCUGCGCGGUAUGAUAAACACGGGGUUUUCCUUUGGUCAUUUUACAGUUUAAUAAAAAAAAGGGAAUAAUCGACAGUAAAUCGCAGCCAUGUCUUUGAAAACCGCCAUUUUUUUCAGAACGGGGGAGAGGGGUGUGCAAGGAGAAAGUAAAGAAGGAAAGUUUGUAGGAGAAGUUAGUGUUCGUGAGUGGCUUGUGCACAGAAUAAUGUGUGCAGUUUGGAGAGAAUUGGGUAAUUGUGUUUAACAGAAACGCAGGGGGAGGGAAGAUGGAUCAACGCGUGAGGUUUGCAGUGAGCUGCUGUUACCGUACCCAGUCCCACUGGAUUGAAAAUAAAUUCAGGACGAGGGGAUGGUGCCAAGAAGUGGAUUCUGAAUUCUUGCACGUCUGUGUGGCAAGUAUUUCACCUUCAAGGGUUCUUCACUCUCUUUUCACUGGCAAAUGAAGACAGUUACUUAUGGGAAGUAGGGCAUCUAAAGUGAAUGGCAUUCAUGCUUAAUAGAAAAGUCAGUUAACAGUCAAAGCCGGCACACAAUAAAAACAUGGCUGCUUUCUGCAGUGAGGCACCCAGCGCCGCGCUAUAGCACCGCACAUUUAUUUUUGUGUGAACAAAAAAAAAGCACGCCGGACCACAAGAAAAAGUUUCGGCCAAGAUCUACUGUGUAUUGAAAGGCAAAUUUAUCUUGGUUCCCAUCCUACCAACUCCCUCCAAAAUAGAAGUCUAGCCAUUUAGUGCUGAGAAUGCUUAAUUGCUUCUUUUUUUUUACUCUCAAAACACAUUAUGUAUUCCUAGGCCGUGCAGUUUCCUGUUCUUAAAAGCAGUUACUGAAUGCGAAGAUGCAUCUCAGUUAGGCGAUGAUGUGGUUAACAUGCAUUCUGCACCUCGUUCAAAAUUACAGUUCACAAAGUUGUAUUUUUUUUUUAUCAACUCCUGUCUAGCCAGAGUUACAGAUGUAAUUCCAGACAACACCUAGACACAGAAGCAGAGAGAAGCCGACACCAUUUACUUUUCUAUAGCUGUAUAAAGAUUUUAAGCUAGUACUUUGAAGCACUUGGCUACCGUAUUUGUUUUUAAGUUAUUUUUGGAGUUGACAGUGAAGUACAGUGUUCAUGUCUUACUUUUCAUGAAACAGGUACGAAGAAUUUGCUUGCACUGUGGGAUGAGGUAGUAGGUUGUAUAGUUUUAGGGUCACACCCACACUGGGAGAUAACUAUACAAUCUACUGUCUUUCCUAAAGUGGCAGAAAAUGUGACGUCGUCUGAAUCAUCGGUACCCCUCUUAAAUUAGUCUCUACAUUAUUCUUUUUAUUAGCAUUCUGAAGAGAUUUUAAAUAAAGAUUAAAACUUAUACAGCUGGACAAGGGACAUUUUUUAUACUUAUUAUUUUAUACUAUGUUACCGUUUGGACACAAGUGAGGUACGAAUGAUGGAUUUAGGUGCACUGUGUUUGUCUAUAAUAAUGAGCUCAAACUGUAAACCUUUAAUGCUAUAGAAUAUCUUCUCUGCAAAGUGUAAUCAUCUGUUGUCAAUCAUGCUUUGUCAGAGUGAGGUAGUAAAUUGUAUAGUUGUAGGGUAGUGAUUUUACCCUGUUUAGAAGAUAACUAUACAAUCUAUUGCCUUCCCUGAGGAGCAGAAAUGCAGCACUGUCAUCAAUGUCAUCAUCGUUGGAACGGUUCAUUAAGAAAACAAGAUGUGCAUAUAACUAAAGUGUUCAUUUUGUUCAAGGUUUGAAAUACAUGGGUGCUAACGGGACACCCUCAUAAGUCCCCCCGUUUGUAGGUGCAGUAUUAUUGAUUUGCUGGCACGGGGCUGGGGGGUCUUUAAUUUGCAAUAUUACAAUAUAUACUAAAGGUUUCAUUAGUGUUUAAGUUAAUUUAUUAAAGAUUUUUAAAUAUAUGCUUGGCCAGCCGGGCCCCACCCCCAAAAUACAGAAAGUAUAUUUCGAGCCCUGCUGUUGUUAAUUUUAUUUCAUGAGUAGUGUACGUGCAUAUAAAUUGUAUCAUACAAUGAAUUACCUGAACACUGAAGUUUUCUUUUUUUUCUGGAUCGGUUAAAGCAGUCUGACAGUCUGCUUCUUUGGAGAAAUUGAAGUGAAACAGGGGCUCCUGGGUAGAGGUAGCAGGUUGCAUAGUUGUAGGGCAGGGAUUUUGCCCCAGAGGAGGUAACUAUACAAACUGCUGCCUUUCUUAGGGUUUCAUGAUUGCAACAGAAUAUCCAGGUAUGUCCACAAUAUUUAAAUUGAUCGGAAUUUAUAUAUAUGCACACACGUUAUGGCUGGUUUCCUGUAUUAUUUCGGAACAAAGAAUUGGCAGUUGCACAAGUUAUUUUAACGAGCGUUGUAAGACAAGAAGAAAGGUUAACAUGGAAAAAAGCGACAUUCAUGUUACAAGAGGGGUAUGUUGAGAAGGUGUUAAAGGAUUAGGAGAGUUGGAGAGGUCUGAAGGGUUUACCUGCAUAAAGGUGUGCAGGUGGCCGCACAUGGUUUUACAAUUAACCUCUUUUGGGAAUUCUGUUGUUAUUAAAUUGAUUUGUUGUAUUGCUUGCACCACAGUAUAUUGCAUGCUGUUAUGCAAGCUUCCUGACGAACCCAUUCCUAACACCUCGAGACUGAGCCUUUUCCGUCUGUUGUUAUGAAUAGCCUUUCAGGAUGUUCUGAACUAAAGGAUGGGCAUGUGUUUUUACCGUAUGACUUGUUUAAACAUUCUUAUGUUGGGGGUGGUGCUUUCAAAAGUUGGUGUUUUUCACACAUUGAAACAAAGGUGCAGUAUGACAGGUAUGUUUUGUUUGUUUUGAAGUUUCUUUGUAUGAUUUUUAAAAAUAAAAAAUCAGUUUAAACUGUACUGACUGGAAGGUUUUCUGUAGACAAAUGUGUCAGCUGCCAUUAAUUGUAAAUGAAGUUUGUUAUGUAUUAAAAUGGGCCACUCUUAAAAAUGUAACAGAUUUUGGUUUUUAGUGUUCGGUAGGUAUUGUAGGCAUGUAGGAUAUACCCCCAAAAAACAAACACAAUUAAGAAAUGAAAACAAAUAACAAUUCAUUCUCAAAUGUUUUACUCAUAUUAUCUGUGGUUGACGAGAAGCUGAGUACACUGGCUGCAGACAAAUAAACAAACAAGGAAUUGCUGUACAUACCUACUGUAGUAAGUAUGGUCUGCUAUAGAGGAGUGUUAAAAAUGCAGUGGGAAGUUGUCUGCCUAGUAUAACAGUAUACAGCUAUAUAGCUGAUAGCAAUAUGGGGUAUCCUAGGAUAAUGGCUUGCUGAAAAUGUAUUAUAAUACAUCUACUUUUAUACAAAGGAAGCCUCUUCCAUUACAAAACAAGGAAUCCAUCUGCGGUGGUAUUCAAACCUUUCUUAACACCUUUAUAAAAUCCUCUAAGCUCUUAACCUACAUCUUUAACGGUUCAUUUGGUUGACUGGUUUUUCAGAAAGUCUUAUGCAUUGAAGGAACAGGCUUUCAAGACAUCUUUUCCAUCGUUGGCUGCUACAGAGGCCACUAUGCUUGCGUAGUCACAAGCCAUGUGUAAAUCCCCUGUGAACAAAAAAAAAAGAAUGAUUAACAAAAAAAUGACAGGAUGGGUUUCAACAUCAACUAAAUGAAAAAUCCAGAACAGUGUGGGAAUACCUAGAAAACAUGUGGGAUCCUCCCAGCAAAUGGUAAC